rnacentral:rRNA from 1 species
GCUACUUGGGGGCGAGCGGCUGGGGGAAUCGGGAGGGGGCAAGAUGUUGGCGGAAUGAGUGUGCGUAAAGAUCUCUGAGGGGGCUUGUUGUGUCGGAGGGGAAAGCCCGGGGAUUAACCCAGUGACUGCAUUGGAUACGAGCAGGCUAUAGUUGGGUAUGGGAGAGCGGAAUUCCUGGUGUAGCGGUGAAAUGCGCAGAUAUCAGGAGGAACACCAGUGGCGAAGGCGGAUCUCUGGGCCGAUACUGACGCUGAGGAGCGAAAGCGUGGGGAGCGAACAGGAUUAGAUACCCCUGUAGUC